CUUCUGGGCCUCCUUACUCCUCUGCUACCAUAUUUAUCUCCUAUCCUGUUGUCUUUGCAUCUUGGAGGAUUUAAGUGAAAUUUAAAUUGCAUCUACAAGGAACACAAUACUGAGAUAGGAUAUGGAAACACUGCUUCUGUUUCAGAACCCUGCUACAAUUGACAGAAGAUGGAUAUGAAGUCCUGGCACCAAUCCAUAUACUAUUAAAUACCAAUUUAUGAUGACAAUGUGCUAGUUUGUCUACAUUACUUUCCAUUAGACACUAAUUCAGAACAAAGGAAGGUGACCUGGCAGGACAAAAUUCAGCUGAUCUAGUACAAGCAUAGCAGGAAUUAUAACAAUACGUUUUACUAAAGCAGAGUCCUUGUAUGUGUGUAAUGUAUGUAACAAUAAUAAGGAUUAAUGUCUUAAGGAUUUCACACCGGAGGUUUUCUGAAGAGAAAAUAACUAAUGGGCUGCUAAUAAUUUGUAAUGUAACUUCAAAUAUGCUAUUACCUUAUCACUACAAAGACUAUUUUUUUUCUCCACACGUUAAGCCACUUUUAGUAACAAGAAUUAUGCUCCCAGUAAAUGCUUAUCUAAAACCUCUCAAAGGCUGAAGGUAACAUUCAAGAAGCAAGCAGGCAGCAGAAAACAAAAGCAAGCUCUAAUCUGUUCUUUUUAUGCCACCUGAGAAGGCUGCUGGGCAGAGCCAUGAGUCUCUGUGUAUUGCCCCCGGCCCCUUUGCACAGAGACAUUUACUCACAACUGCUUGGCCAUUGUGGGAGCUCAGUCUUUUGUCAGGCCCUUCAUCAUGGCAGGAUGGGGCGGAUUGA